UACGUAGGGUGCGAGCGUUGCCCGGAUUUAUUGGGCGUAAAGGGCGCGCAGGCGGCUACGCACGUCCGUUGUGAAAUCGCUCGGCUCAACUGGGCGGGGUCAGCGGAUACGGCGUAGCUGGAGCAAGCUAGGGGGCAAUGGAAUUCCCGGUGUAGUGGUGGAAUGCGUAGAGAUCGGGAAGAACAUCGGUGGCGAAAGCGCUCUACUGGACCGCAACUGACACUCAGGGACGAAAGCUAGGGGAGCGAAUGGG
rnacentral:rRNA from 1 species